ACUCACUCACAGCCAUUUCUUAUUCCAUUUUCGGGGUCCCCUUCUUGACAUACUAAUUGGUCUCUCU
ensembl:ncRNA F35H8.9 ncRNA